GUAAAAGCUUAUACUGCUAAGUUGCACCAUUACUUUUUUUUUCCUUUCUCUUUUUAUCUUACGUUAAUUGAAUAGAGUGAUAUAUUGUAAUUUUCUGAGUGAGUUCAUGAAAGUGUAGAUGGAGCUCUUAUUUCAGUUCGUGAACAUGAAUUGUUCCUGUGAUUUUCCCUUAUAAAGUUGCAUUUAGACAAUGCUCAUGCUGUAACCUUAUAUUUAUUUGUUCAUGGAAUUACAGAUUUAAAGUUGACUCACUUUGCUUUAUAUGUUUCUUAAAAAGAAAUUGCAUUUGGACUGUGCUUAUGCUGUAACCUUAUAUUUAUUUGUUCAUGGAAUUACAGAUUUAAAGUUGACUCACUUUGCUUUAUAAUUUUGUGUAAGCCGCACGGGAACAUUCAUUGCUGC
rnacentral:lncRNA from 1 species